AUGGAUCUUUCCAUGGCUACCGGCCCGGAAGACUCCCUCCUCCUGCUCCUCCUCCCGGCUACCACCCUGCUCCCACCCCUGCUCGCCGUGCUCCUCCUCGCCGCCUCACUCCUGUGGCUCUCACCGGGCGGUCCGGCGUGGGCCUUGUCCCUCUGCCUUCGCCCGCCGCCAGGCCCACCAGGCGUGGUCACCGCGCUCUCCAGCCCCGUGGCGCACCGCGUCAUGGCGGCGCUGUCCCGCUCUGUCCAUGGCGGCGCGGCAUUGAUGUCCUUCUCCGUCGGCCUAACCCGCGUCGUCGUGUCGAGCCGGCAAGAUACAGCGCGUGAGAUACUCGUCAACCCGGCGUUCGGCGACCGCCCCGUGAAGGACGCGGCGCGCCACCUCCUCUUCCACCGCGCAAUGGGCUUCGCCCCGUCGGGCGACACCCAUUGGCGUGCCCUCCGCCGUCUCGCCGCGGCGCACCUCUUCGGCCCGCGCCGCGUGGCGGCCUCCGCACCCCACCGCUCCUCUAUUGGGGCGCGCAUGCUCGGCGACGUCGCCUCCCUCAUGGCCCGCCACGGCGAAGUCGCCCCUCGGCGGUUCCUGCACGCGGCGUCCCUAAACCACGUCAUGGCCGUCGUCUUCGGCAAGCGCUACGACGAUUUCACAAGCCAAGAAGGUGCCCUCGUGGAGGAGAUGGUAAACGAAGGGUACGACCUCCUCGGCACGUUCAACUGGGCAGAUCACCUGCCAUUCCUCAAGUGGCUCGACCUCCAGGGCGUGCGCCGCCGGUGCAACAGGUUAGUCCGGCAGGUGGAGGCGUAUGUGGGUAACAUCAUUCAGGAGCACAAGGCGAGGCGCGCCAGCGGAUCAGGCAUUGCGGAUGAGCUCUCCGGCGACUUCGUCGAUGUGCUCCUCGGCCUCGACGGAGAAGACAAGAUGUCAGAGUCCGACAUGAUCGCCGUUCUUUGGGAGAUGAUCUUUAGAGGGACGGACACGGUGGCGAUCUUGAUGGAGUGGAUCAUGGCGAGGAUGGUGCUGCACCCGGAGAUCCAGUCGAAGGCCCGGGUGGAGCUGGACGCCGUGGUGGGCCGGGGCAGGGCCGUGACGGACGAGGACGUGGCGAGGCUCCCCUACAUCCAGUGCAUCGUCAAGGAGACGCUGCGCAUGCACCCGCCGGGCCCGCUCCUCUCGUGGGCGCGGCUGGCUGUGCACGACGCACACGUCGGCGCCCACCUCGUCCCGGCCGGCACGACGGCGAUGGUGAACAUGUGGGCCAUCGCGCACGACGCGGCGGUGUGGCCCGAGCCGGAGCAGUUCCGGCCGGAGCGGUUCAUGGAGGAGGAGGUGAGCGUGCGGGGCAGCGACCUCCGCCUGGCCCCGUUCGGCGCCGGGCGGCGCGUGUGCCCCGGCAAGAUGCUGGCCCUCGCCACCGUCCACCUCUGGCUCGCCCAGCUGCUGCACCGGUUCGAGUGGGCGCCCUCGGGGAGCGUCGACCUGUCAGAGCACCUCAAGAUGUCACUGGAGAUGGCCACGCCGCUGGUCUGCAGGGCCGUGGCUCGCUAG
rnacentral:rRNA from 1 species